GAAAGAUAGCACAGUUCCUGGGGAUAAUUCAGUGUGGCUGGCUGAGAAGACCAACAACAGUAAAAAAAUAACCCACGGGAAUAGAACUGCUCCCUGUAAUAACAGAGAAGUGAAAAACAGUUUCCCUCAGUGUCUCAUAAACUACUUCAUUCAAGGAUCAGCAUUUUGAUUAGAACAUCGUUUUCCAGCCCGAUAAAAAUCGAUUUGGAGCGGACGAGGAACUGAGGGGAGGAAAGGAAACGUGCUCGGU